UCAAACUUGGUCAUUUAGAGGAAGUAAAAGUCGUAACAAGGUUUCCGUAGGUGAACCUGCGGAAGGAUCAUUGCAGUGUGAGUGGAUUACUGGGCUGUGGGGGUUGGGGGGUUUCCCCCCAGUUCUGCAGAGCAGGAAUUUUGUUGGUCUGUGUCUGUGUCUGUGUCUGUGUCUGUGUUUGUUGGUCUGGUCUGGUCUGGUCGUUGCUGUUGCGGGGGUUGGGGGGUUUCCCCCCCAGUUCUGCAGAAAAAAGGACAAGAACAGACACAAGAACAGACACAACAGACACAAGAACAGACAACAACAAAAUAUUUGUCCGGGGCAGCAAUGCCCUGUGAUGUGCUUGCGCUUGCUUGUUUGUUGGCGUUUUUGUCAGUUGGCACUUAACACGAUACACAAUACAACUUUUAACAACGGAUCUCUUGGCUCUUGCAUCGAUGAAGAACGCAGC
rnacentral:misc_RNA from 1 species